rnacentral:rRNA from 1 species
AUUGAACGCUGGCGGCAGGCCUAACACAUGCAAGUCGAGCGGCAGCGACAAUAAAGAUUCUUCGGAUGAUUUAUUGGGCGGCGAGCGGCGGACGGGUGAGUAAUGGCUGGGAACCUGCCCUGAUGUGGGGGAUAACAGUUGGAAACGACUGCUAAUACCGCAUAACGUCUACGGACCAAAGAGGAGGACCUUCGGGCUUCUCGCGUCAGGAUGGGCCCAGUUGGGAUUAGCUAGUUGGUGAGGUAAUGGCUCACCAAGGCGACGAUCCCUAGCUGGUUUGAGAGGAUGAUCAGCCACACUGGAACUGAGACACGGUCCAGACUCCUACGGGAGGCAGCAGUGGGGAAUAUUGCACAAUGGGCGCAAGCCUGAUGCAGCCAUGCCGCGUGUGUGAAGAAGGCCUUCGGGUUGUAAAGCACUUUCAGUCGUGAGGAAGGGGUUAAUACCU